CGGUUGCGGCUCUGGUGUUCACUUUUGGUUCUUGUGUUGCCUACCCGUUUAGCGGUAUUCAUGUGCCUCUUAAGACCCAUUCCAUCCAGACCCCUUCUAGGGGCUGCUGGGGGAUUCGAAAGUGAUGCGUGUUUUGCGUUAGUUGUGCGUUGUAACAGCUCGUGUGCUCACAUGUGUCUAUUUUUCCCUUGGAUGCGGUGCAUGUGGCAAACGUGGGCUGACGAUUGUGCCCCGUUUAGUCCCUUUGAUUUAUCGGUUGCCUUGAAUGACACUUUGCUGUAGUGCUGGUCUUGCUUUACCAUUCUUGGGGGCAACACUUGCACUUCGAGCAGAGUCAUUGACGG
rnacentral:misc_RNA from 1 species